CACCUGUUCCAAGCCAGUCACCUGCAAACCAUCAGCUCAUCAGCCCUGCAGUAUAUCUACCCCAGUUUUCCAGCCGCUCAUCGCCAGAUUGUUUCACUGCUGCGAUCCAUCACCUGCUCAUCCAGCUGCCAGCCUCUUAUCUGCACGUCCGCCUCUCCACAUCACUGCUGCCUUCAUCUACUGUGGAUCUCCUUGCCCUUGCCAUCAGCCCUCCAUCCAAUACCCCCCCUCUACAAUAAAAGACUUUAUAUCAACAACA